rnacentral:rRNA from 1 species
UACGUAGGGGGCAAGCGUUGUCCGGAUUUAUUGGGCGUAAAGAGCUCGUAGGCGGUUCCGUAAGUCGUGAAGUCAAAUCUCUGGGCUCAACCCCAGAAUCGCUUCCGAUACUGCGGUGACUGGAGUCCGGUAGGGGAGUGUGGAAUUCCCUGGUGUAGCGGUGAAAUGCGCAGAUAUCAGGAGGAACACCAAUGGCGAAGGCAGCUCGCUGGGACGGUACUGACGCUGAGACGCGAAAGCGUGGGGAGCAAACAGG